GAUGAACGCUGGCGGCGUGCUUAACACAUGCAAGUCGAACGGGAAAUAUUUCAUUGAGACUUCGGUGGAUUUGAUCUAUUUCUAGUGGCGGACGGGUGAGUAACGCGUGGGUAACCUGCCUUAUACAGGGGGAUAACAGUCAGAAAUGGCUGCUAAUACCGCAUAAGCGCACAGAGCUGCAUGGCUCAGUGUGAAAAACUCCGGUGGUAUAAGAUGGACCCGCGUUGGAUUAGCUAGUUGGUGGGGUAACGGCCCACCAAGGCGACGAUCCAUAGCCGGCCUGAGAGGGUGAACGGCCACAUUGGGACUGAGACACGGCCCAGACUCCUACGGGAGGCAGCAGUGGGGAAUAUUGCACAAUGGGGGAAACCCUGAUGCAGCGACGCCGCGUGAAGGAAGAAGUAUCUCGGUAUGUAAACUUCUAUCAGCAGGGAAGAUAGUGACG
rnacentral:rRNA from 1 species